rnacentral:rRNA from 1 species
CAACAGGGAUUGCCUUAGUAACGGCGAGUGAAGCGGCAAAAGCUCAAAUUUGAAAUCUGGCGCCUUCGGUGUCCGAGUUGUAAUUUGAAGAAGGUAACUUUGGAGUUGGCUCUUGUCUAUGUUCCUUGGAACAGGACGUCACAGAGGGUGAGAAUCCCGUGCGAUGAGAUGCCCAAUUCUAUGUAAAGUGCUUUCGAAGAGUCGAGUUGUUUGGGAAUGCAGCUCUAAGUGGGUGGUAAAUUCCAUCUAAAGCUAAAUAUUGGCGAGAGACCGAUAGCGAACAAGUACAGUGAUGGAAAGAUGAAAAGAACUUUGAAAAGAGAGUGAAAAAGUACGUGAAAUUGUUGAAAGGGAAGGGCUUGAGAUCAGACUUGGUAUUUUGCGAUCCUUUCCUUCUUGGUUGGGUUCUCCGCAGCUUACUGGGCCAGCAUCGGUUUGGAUGGUAGGAUAAUGAUUAAGGAAUGUGGCUCUACUUCGGUGGAGUGUUAUAGCCUUGGUUGAUACUGCCUGUCUAGACCGAGGACUGCGU